rnacentral:lncRNA from 1 species
AAAAAUGUUAGAAAACAUGGGAGAAUGUUAUAUUUUUAUGAUACGAUUACUAUAAAAGAUAAGGAUAAUGAAAGUAAUAAUUUAAUUUUUUUUAAAAAUCAUUGUUUAAUUAGUAAUAGUAAAAAUAAUAUAAAUAAUAAUAAAGAGAAUGAUAAAGAUGUUAAAAAACAAAAAUAUUAUGUAAUUAAAAAUAAAGUUGAUAAACAAAGUAUUGCAGGAAACAGUAACAUUCAGUUAGUAAUUCAUAAAGAAUUUUACACUGAUGAUGAAAAAUUUAAUUUAUACCAACAACAUUUAAUGUUGAGUAAAACACAUGAAGAAAAAUAUAAAAGUGAAAAUGAAACAUCAUUAAACAUGAAUCCUUGGUAUUAUUCAAUAAAAUUAUGUAAGCAGUAUUAUAAAAAUUUAAAAGAAGAAAAAAAUAUUGAACAUAUUAAAGAAAGUUGUAUUGGGAAAAGUGAAGUAAAUGAAGUAAAGGUUGUUGAUAAUACUAUAUCAUUAUUAUUAUUAAAUGAAUAUAUAAAAUUUGAGAUUAUAAAUAAAAUUAUUAAAACAGACACAUUAGUAUACAUUAUUGGAUUGCCCGUUUUAACAAACACACAGGAAAAAUCGAUAUUAGUAUUUGCCUCUUAUUUGUUACAAGUAAAUUACGAAUAUUUUAAUAUUAGCCAAGUUUUAAAUUUGUUUGAAAAUAAUUAUUUUUCUAUGCUUACACUAUGCAAAAGUUUACGUGUUCAUGAUGCGUAUAUUUAUAAUCUGUAUAAUAAACAAGAGGAGUGCAAAAAAAAAAAACACAUAAUGGAUAUUGUAUAUAAACAUAAGGAUUAUACAAAUAUAAGUAAUCAGAAAAUGAAUAAUUUUGAAAUUUUUAUAAUAAAAAUAAUUGAUGUUUUACCAAAAUUAUUUGAAAUACAAUCAAGUGAUUUUAAAUAUGAUAUUGGCCAUAGUGAUGACAUUAAAAAAGAUAAAAAUUUUCUAAACGAUUUGAACUUGAGUAUAGUAAACGAAUAUUUAUCUGUUAAUGAUGCAGAUGUUAAAACAGAAAACUGUGGUGACGAGAUAGGGGAAAAUGACAAAAAUGACAACAUUGGUAUUGCA